rnacentral:rRNA from 1 species
UACGAAGGGGGCGAGCGUUGUUCGGAUUUACUGGGCGUAAAGCGCGCGCAGGCGGCCCGCGAGGUGUCACGUGAAAGCCCCGGGCUCAACCCGGGAGGGUCGUGGCAAACCGGCGGGCUUGAGGCCGGUAGAGGUGGGUGGAACUCCUGGUGGAGUGGUGAAAUGCGUAGAUAUCGGGAGGAACACCAGUGGCGAAGGCGACUUCCUGGCCUGUUCUUGACGCUGAGGCGCGAAAGCUAGGGGAGCAAACGGG